CGGUGAGGGGAGAAAUGGGAGCGAUCUGGAAGGGGUCUGCAAAACCCGGGUUGGAUUAGACAGAGAUGGGAGGAACGAAGGCAGCUGCGACAGGGCCAAAUGCACCCCGGGCACGCAAAUUUCGGGCCGGAUUCUUCCUCGGGAGACGGAGUAAUGCGUCAUGCCUAAUGCAGUGGGAAUAAGCAAGACCUGGCCUAGAGCUCCCAGACCUGGGCUCGCAGGGGUCUCCGGGAAGGGGCUAUUUAGUGGCUGAGGCGGCGUGGGCUGCCCUCGUCUUCCUGGCAGCGACGUGCAAGAAGGAGGGGCAAAAGGAGGGCUGGACUCGGGCACGAAAGGAUCUGGAGCGCUGGCUGCACCGAAGCAGGCAGCACCUGGUAGGAUCCAUGAAAGGCUUUGGCGGUACCGCAGGGGGCAACCAGGAACCCUCCCCCCACAUCCACACAGCCAGCUUUCUAUAAACCUGGAAGGAUUGAAAGGGGGAAGAACGUGCAGCUCAAGGAAGGCUGAGCAUCUCCAGAGCCCCCUGGCUCCUAGUCCUCCCACCACCCUGCCGUCCAGCCCUGAGUAGCCCACCCACCUGCUCUAUGGA
ensembl:lncRNA